ACGAACGCAGCUAAGACGGCCAAGCAACUGUGGCUCUUCUUCAUGGGACGUGGCUUUCUGGUGCAGUAGGGGAAGCAGGGAAAUAUAGACAGGAGCUGCAUGGAUGAGCAGAACAGCACCUGGGAGUGUCUCCAAUCUCCUGAGGAACAGAUUUCACUGUGUAUGACAGAUCCUGUGACAUGACGUCACCUCGUGUCACUGUGUGUGGGACUCACACAGAUGGCAGGAAGAUGGCCUGCUGUUUGUUGGACAGAGAACAAAAGAGUGAUGAUUCCUAUCAAAGAAAGCAAAAGAAAUGCUUCCAGAAUCCACAGAAACCCAGCCUCACACAUCACUGCAUAAAUGGCUUAGAAGGAUCAGCAGUCAAGUGACAACUUGGUGUCCAUUUACAAGGACUGGAACUGUGUUUGAGCAGCGUUUGAGACGGGUGGAAUUAGAAACAGUCUCAGACACCUCCAGGAUCUCCACCAUCAUCUAUCAAGUGAGAGACCACUGGGCCUACACCAAUCUUUAUAUCCAUAUCUGCCAAGAAUCAUAUUAGUUUCUAAAGUCAUGUUUUAAAGAAUAGCACUACCAGCAGAAUCCUGUUACUAGCAGGGAUAAUUUUAACAUAGAUUCAGACUCACCAAUUGGUCAAUGCAUAUUUCCCCCAUAUGAGUAUUUAGCAAAAUCUAACAAACAUCCAGUUAGUAUCUCAACAUCCAGAAAUAGAAGAUUUAAUUAAGUAAAUUAUGAUAAAUCUAUGCAAUUGAAUACUAUACACUUACUAAAAUAACUAUGUAGUAUAUUUACAUUUGUUAUAGAAAGAUGCACUUGAUAAAUGUGUGCUCCAUUGUUUUUCACUGUAGUCUCCCCUGCCUUUAGAACAGUGACUGACUAGAACAUCAUACAAGCUGAAAAAAGAUCUGCUGAAUAAAAAAAACGAAUAAAAGACAUUGUUACA